UUAAGGUGAAACCGCGAAAGGCUCAUUAAAUCAGUUGUGGUUCCUUAGAUCGUACCCACGCCACUUGGAUAACUGUGGUAAUUCUAGAGCUAAUACAUGCAAACAGAACUCCGACCGGAGACGGGAGGAGCGCUUUUAUUAAACAAAACCGAUCGGCGGCGGGCGCGUCCGCGCGUCCGUCGGCCGCUCUCGCCUGACGACUCUGAAUAACUUCGAGCCGAUCGCACGGCCUCGCGCCGGCGACGCAUCUUUCAAAUGUCUGCCUUAUCAACUGUCGACGGUAGGUUCUGCGCCUACCGUGGUCGUAACGGGUAACGGGGAAUCAGGGUUCGAUUCCGGAGAGGGAGCCUGAGAAACGGCUACCACAUCCAAGGAAGGCAGCAGGCGCGCAAAUUACCCACUCCCGGCACGGGGAGGUAGUGACGAAAAAUAACGAUACGGGACUCAUCCGAGGCCCCGUAAUCGGAAUGAGCACACUUUAAAUCCUUUACC
rnacentral:rRNA from 1 species